rnacentral:sRNA from 1 species
GGUGGGCAUGGUGGGCAUGCCUGUAACUCCAGCAACUCUGGAGGCUGAGGCAGGAGGAUUGCAAGUUUGAGGCCAGCCUAAGCAAUUUAGCCAGACCCUGUUUCAA